rnacentral:misc_RNA from 1 species
AAGUAAUAGAAUAGUUAGGGUGGUAUGUGGGCAAAUUGUUGAGGAUAGGCAGCAUCUCAAUGAUCUCCUUAAAGAAAAUUUGCAAUUGUUUAAGAAUAGGAUGAAGCAGCAACUUGAUAAGCAUAGGAGUGAAAGGGAAUUUGCAGCGGGAGAUUGGGUAUAUUUGCGGCUGCAACCAUAUAGACAAGGUUCGGUGGCAUUAAGACAGGUGCUUAAAUUUCUGCCAAGUAUUUUGGGCCUUUCAGAAUUAUUGAUAGAGUGGGAGAAAUAGCUUACAGGUUGGAGUUACCUCUUAU